AACUUUCAACAACGGAUCUCUUGGUUCUGGCAUCGAUGAAGAACGCAGCGAAAUGCGAUAAGUAAUGUGAAUUGCAGAAUUCAGUGAAUCAUCGAAUCUUUGAACGCACAUUGCGCCCCUUGGUAUUCCGAGGGGCAUGCCUGAUUCAGCGUCAUUU
rnacentral:rRNA from 1 species